rnacentral:rRNA from 1 species
CUACGGGUUGCUGCAGUGGGGAAUAUUGGACAAUGGGCGGAAGCCUGAUCCAGCCAUGCCGCGUGUGUGAAGAAGGCCUUUUGGUUGUAAAGCACUUUAAGCGAGGAGGAGGCUACUUGGAUUAAUACUCUAGGAUAGUGGACGUUACUCGCAGAAUAAGCACCGGCUAACUCUGUGCCAGCAGCCGCGGUAAUACAGAGGGUGCGAGCGUUAAUCGGAUUUACUGGGCGUAAAGCGUGCGUAGGCGGCUUCUUAAGUCGGAUGUGAAAUCCCUGAGCUUAACUUAGGAAUUGCAUUCGAUACUGGGAAGCUAGAGUAUGGGAGAGGAUGGUAGAAUUCCAGGUGUAGCGGUGAAAUGCGUAGAGAUCUGGAGGAAUACCGAUGGCGAAGGCAGCCAUCUGGCCUAAUACUGACGCUGAGGUACGAAAGCAUGGGGAGCAAACAGGAUUAGAUACCCCAGUAGUC